rnacentral:rRNA from 1 species
AUUGAACGCUGGCGGCAUGCUUUACACAUGCAAGUCGAACGGCAGCACGGGUGCUUGCACCUGGUGGCGAGUGGCGAACGGGUGAGUAAUGCAUCGGAACGUAUCCAAUAAUGGGGGAUAACGCACCGAAAGGUGUGCUAAUACCGCAUACGCCCUGAGGGGGAAAGUGGGGGACCGUAAGGCCUCACGUUAAUGGAGCGGCCGAUGCCUGAUUAGCUAGUUGGUGAGGUAAAGGCUCACCAAGGCGACGAUCAGUAGCUGGUCUGAGAGGACGACCAGCCACACUGGGACUGAGACACGGCCCAGACUCCUACGGGAGGCAGCAGUGGGGAAUUUUGGACAAUGGGCGCAAGCCUGAUCCAGCCAUGCCGCGUGAGUGAAGAAGGCCUUCGGGUUGUAAAGCUCUUUCGCAAGGAAAGAAAACUUAUCCCCUAAUACGGGAUGAGGAUGACGGUACCUUGAUAAGAAGCACCGGCUAACUACGUGCCAGCAGCCGCCGCGGUAA